rnacentral:rRNA from 1 species
CGCGUAGGUGGUAGUACAAGUCUGAUGUGGAAUCUUAGGGCUUAACCCUAAAACUGCAUUGGAAACUGUAUUACUUGAGUCAGUGAGGGGAGGGUAGAAUUCCUGGUGUAGCGGUGAAAUGCGUAGAUAUCAGGAGGAAGGCCGGUGGCGAAGGCGGCCCUCUGGCGCUGAACUGACACUGAGGCGCGAAAGCGUGGGUAGCAAACAGGAUUAGAUACCCUGGUAGUCCACGCCCUAAACGGUGGGUACUAGGUGUAGGGCUCGUAAGGGUUCUGUGCCGAAGCGAAAGCAUUAAGUACCCCGCCUGGGGAGUACGGCCGCAAGGUUGAA